AAAAAAGGUAAGCUACUAAGAGCGAAUGGUGGAUGCCUUGACUGGUAAAGGCGAUGAAGGACGUACUAGACUGCGAUAAGCUACGGGGAGCUGUCAAGAAGCUUUGAUCCGUAGAUUUCCGAAUGGGGCAACCCAAUGUAUAGAGAUAUACAUUACCUAUAUAGGAGCGAACGAGGGGAAUUGAAACAUCUUAGUACCCUCAGGAAAAGAAAUCAAUAGAGAUUGCGUCAGUAGCGGCGAGCGAAAGCGUAAGAGGGCAAACCCAGUGCUUGCACUGGGGGUUGUAGGACUGCAAUGUGCAAGAGGUGAGUUUAGCAGAACAUUCUGGAAAGUAUAGCCAUAGAGGGUGAUAGUCCCGUAUGCGAAAAACAAACCUUAGCUAGCAGUAUCCUGAGUAGGGCGGGACACGAGAAAUCCUGUCUGAAGCUGGGUCGACCACGAUCCAACCCUAAAUACUAAUACCAGAUCGAUAGUGCACAAGUACCGUGAGGGAAAGGUGAAAAGAACUGAGGUGAUCAGAGUGAAAUAGAACCUGAAACCAUUUGCUUACAAUCAUUCAGAGCACUAUGUAGCAAUACAGUGUGAUGGACUGCCUUUUGCAUAAUGAGCCUGCGAGUUGUGGUGUCUGGCAAGGUUAAGCAAACGCGAAGCCGUAGCGAAAGCGAGUCUGAAUAGGGCGCUUAGUCAGAUGCUGCAGACCCGAAACGAAGUGAUCUAUCCAUGAGCAAGUUGAAGCUAGUGUAAGAACUAGUGGAGGACUGAACCCAUAGGCGUUGAAAAGCCCCGGGAUGACUUGUGGAUAGGGGUGAAAGGCCAAUCAAACUUCGUGAUAGCUGGUUCUCUCCGAAAUAUAUUUAGGUAUAGCGUUGUGUCGUAAUAUAAGGGGGUAGAGCACUGAAUGGGCUAGGGCAUACACCAAUGUACCAAACCCUAUCAAACUCCGAAUACCUUAUAUGUAAUCACAGCAGUCAGGCGGCGAGUGAUAAAAUCCGUCGUCAAGAGGGAAACAACCCAGACUACCAGCUAAGGUCCCUAAAUCUUACUUAAGUGGAAAACGAUGUGAAGUUACUUAAACAACCAGGAGGUUGGCUUAGAAGCAGCCAUCCUUUAAAGAAAGCGUAAUAGCUCACUGGUCUAGUGAUUUUGCGCGGAAAAUAUAACGGGGCUAAAGUAAGUACCGAAGCUGUAGACUUGCGCACAACUUAGAUUAUUUAAGUUUAGAAUAUGAGAAACUAAGUUAUAUGUUUAGUUAUAUUUUUACUGAUUUUUAUAGAGUAAAGAUAGAAAUAAAACUUAGUAAAAUCAGUAAAAAUAUUCUUAGACUAAAGUUAAGUAGUUUAAGUUGUGUGCAAGUGGUAGGAGAGCGUUCUAUUUGCGUCGAAGGUAUACCGGUAAGGAGUGCUGGAGCGAAUAGAAGUGAGCAUGCAGGCAUGAGUAGCGAUAAUUAAUGUGAGAAUCAUUAACGCCGUAAACCCAAGGUUUCCUACGCGAUGCUCGUCAUCGUAGGGUUAGUCGGGUCCUAAGUCGAGUCCGAAAGGGGUAGACGAUGGCAAAUUGGUUAAUAUUCCAAUACCAACAUUAGUGUGCGAUGGAAGGACGCUUAGGGCUAAGGGGGCUAGCGGAUGGAAGUGCUAGUCUAAGGUCGUAGGAGGUUAUACAGGCAAAUCCGUAUAACAAUACUCCGAGAACUGAAAGGCUUUUUGAAGUCUUCGGAUGGAUAGAAGAACCCCUGAUGCCAUCGAGCCAAGAAAAGUUUCUAAGUUUAGCUAAUGUUGCCCGUACCGUAAACCGACACAGGUGGGUGGGAUGAGUAUUCUAAGGCGCGUGGAAGAACUCUCUUUAAGGAACUCUGCAAAAUAGCACCGUAUCUUCGGUAUAAGGUGUGGUUCGCUUCGUAUUAGGAUUUACUCCGAAAGCGAAGAAACUUACAACAAAGAGUCCCUCCCGACUGUUUACCAAAAACACAGCACUCUGCUAACUCGUAAGAGGAUGUAUAGGGUGUGACGCCUGCCCGGUGCUCGAAGGUUAAUUGAUGGGGUUAGCAUUAGCGAAGCUCUUGAUCGAAGCCCGAGUAAACGGCGGCCGUAACUAUAACGGUCCUAAGGUAGCGAAAUUCCUUGUCGGUUAAAUACCGACCUGCAUGAAUGGCGUAACGAGAUGGGAGCUGUCUCAAAGAGGGAUCCAGUGAAAUUGUAGUGGAGGUGAAAAUUCCUCCUACCCGCGGCAAGACGGAAAGACCCCGUGGACCUUUACUACAGCUUGACACUGCUAUUUGGAUAAGAAUGUGCAGGAUAGGUGGGAGGCUU
rnacentral:rRNA from 1 species